rnacentral:rRNA from 1 species
GAUGAACGCUGGCGGCGUGCCUAAUACAUGCAAGUCGAGCGAACAGACGAGGAGCUUGCUCCUCUGACGUUAGUGGCGGACGGGUGAGUAACACGUGGAUAACCUACCUAUAAGACUGGGAUAACUUCGGGAAACCGGAGCUAAUACCGGAUAAUAUAUUGAACCGCAUGGUUCAAUAGUGAAAGACGGUUUUGCUGUCACUUAUAGAUGGAUCCGCGCCGCAUUAGCUAGUUGGUAAGGUAACGGCUUACCAAGGCAACGAUGCGUAGCCGACCUGAGAGGGUGAUCGGCCACACUGGAACUGAGACACGGUCCAGACUCCUACGGGAGGCAGCAGUAGGGAAUCUUCCGCAAUGGGCGAAAGCCUGACGGAGCAACGCCGCGUGAGUGAUGAAGGUCUUCGGAUCGUAAAACUCUGUUAUUAGGGAAGAACAAAUGUGUAAGUAACUAUGCACGUCUUGACGGUACCUAAUCAGAAAGCCACGGCUAACCACGUG